CCUGUUGAAUCUCAAUUAAUACAUUACCUGUUGAGCUGCAGACCCAACAGGCCUUAAGAUUUGUGUUGCUUUAUCUUCAUACACAUUGACUGAAUCCCUAAUCUCUGCAGGAAGGAACUCCUUGGCUGAUCCAUAAAGGUAAACAACAUAGGAAGCCCCAGUUGAUAAAGAACUCUCUACCGCAACGAUUGUGCGGCGCAACACAUCACUAGCCAAAGCAGGUGUUAAUUGGUUCAUAAUGAUUUAUAUUUUCUCUAGUGAUAUGUCCUUCAACAACCUUUCGGGGAGCAUUCCACUAGAGAUUGGACAACUACAGAACCUUGUGGCUCUGUAUGUCUAACUAUGAAGAGUUUUGUGCUUGAUGUUUUGUGUUUAUUCCUUGUCGGGUAACCAUUUUGAGAGUAAAGAAUCAUGUUGAAUCUCAAUUAAUACAUUACCUGUUGAGCUGCAGACCCAACAGGCCUUAAGAUAUGUGUUGCUUUAUCUUCAUAGACAUUGACUGAGUCCCUAAUCUCUGCAGGAAGGAACUCCUUGGCUGAUCCAUGAAGGUAAACAACAUAGGAAGCCCCAGUUGAUAAAGAACUCUCUACUGCAACGAUUGUGCGGCGCAACACAUCACUAGCCAAAGCAGGUGCCUUAUUUGUGACUCCACUUACCUCACUUGAAAAGCUAGUAAUUUUCUUAUUCGCCAAUUCACUCGUUUGAUCAACAGCAGAAAAUGCCUUACUAAAAGCAUUAUCUGCCGAUGUAGUAGCAUUUUUAACAACGGAAUCGAUGAAAGAAGUGGCUGUAUCCAGCGAGCUUCGUAAAGCAGUUUCUCCCUUACUAAUAGAAACAUUAAAUGACUCAUUGAUUCCAGAAAACAGGUCACCAACACUUGCUUUUGUAGACGAUUCAUUACCCCCUUCAACCAAACUACUCGUUGAUUCAAACUUCCCCGACGUUACAUCAGUACUAAAAAAUAGAGCCUCC
rnacentral:lncRNA from 1 species